AUCAUAUUCAAAUCUCGUAUACUAAUAUAAAAACUAAUAAGUUUUUAUUUCAACGAGGAAUGAAAAGGACAACAUACAAGAUAGGUAGAAGAAGUUAUGAUACUUGACUCAAGUUUUUAGAUUCAUCUGCAUGAACCAGUCAAUUAGAUUACUUACUUCCUUAGUGUGACACUGAUUGCUGCUUAUUAUCAAAACCACUUAAACAAUUACAGAUUUGAAGGAUUCAGCUAGCUGCUUGUUGUUUCUCUUCUCAUAUGGUGAGCCCUUUUUAAAUAGAUUCAAAACAAUAAAUAUAUGUAGGUGCAAGAUGUAAAUAAAUACCUAAUCUGAAAUAAAACUCAAAUUAAUUUGAUUAGAUCUCACAAAUAAAUUGUUGGAGUUUGCUAAAUCUAUCAACUAGAAAAAAUAAAUAAAUUAGCCACUCAUGAUGGACUUUUUAACAUAAAUGGUUUUUGGAGAGUAAAGAAAAGAAGAAAGAUGAAGAAGAAAAAUUGCCGGAGCUGCUGUGUGCUACA
rnacentral:lncRNA from 1 species